ensembl:snRNA U2 U2 spliceosomal RNA
AUUUUUUCGAAAGAAAAGUAUCUGUUCUUAUCAGUUUAAUACCUGAUACGUCCUCCAUUCGAGGAACUUUAUGAUUAAACGGAUUUUUAGUAGCGAGGAAGAAGUGGAAGAGGGGCUUUGGCUCCGAUGUUGUCGUCUGCCAGCGCAUCGACCUGGUAUUGCAGUACUCCAGGAAUUAAACGGUGCGACCCGU